AGUUGGCUUUGGAGCACAUGAAAACUCCGCAGUUAAGCGUGCUCGUGUUGGAGUAGUACUAGGAUGGGUGACCUCAUGGGAAUUCUCCACCGGGGCAACCA
rfam:Helianthus annuus linkage group 11, whole genome shotgun sequence.